GCAAAUUGGAGCUAAACUCUGCAGGACACCAGCCCUCCAAGACCAAGUUUGGUGACCCCUGCUCUAGCCCAGUGGUUCCCAGCACUGCACAUUUUGCUUCUCUCCUUUGUCUUGACACAACCAUUUCAGGUCUUGCAGUUUCUACUUAUAAGCUGAGGAUCUGAAUCAGGUGCAUCACCUCUGAUGCCGAAUAUGAGGAAUAUAAGAGAAAAAAAAGAAAAAAAAACAUUGAACAACUGAAGAGCUGAAGACAACAUAAUAAGAUCAGCGGGCGGUAACCUGUCAUGACCAUCUACACACUUCAUGCUCGGCCUAUAAUGUGAGAUGCUGGAGGUGUGUGAUUUUUGCAGAGGGCUUAACUUUGAAUGUCACAUUGAUCACACUUGCUGAUUCGGCUGUCAGGAACGUAAUUAAUGUCGCUUUGGAUGUUCUCAAACUGUCAUCGCUGCGGAUUCUGGUGAUUUUUGCAUCCUUGUCAUGGUGAGCAGAGCUGCAGGGCUUCCCAAUGUGAUUACCCUAAAACUGGCUGUGAAUCCUGCCAUGGAGAAAGUGAUUUGCUGGUGUGUUUGAAGUUGGCGGCAAAUUUAGGAAGCCUUUGAGUGGCUGUCUGAACUGAAUUUGACCCGUUUGUUUGUUCCAUCCUUCCGGUCUUUGGCGUUUGAUUAAAACUUCACAUUAGCCUUUGAUGAGAGCAGGCUUCUCCUUUGUAGCGCACGCUCCAUCUGGAGCACCGGCCACCAUACAGCUGCCAUCUUCAUUGUGACAUUCUCCCAUGCCCUCUGGCCACUGUUAAAGGGAUAGUUCGGCCAAAAAAUAAAAAAACAGUUGUCAGUGUACUAA